rnacentral:rRNA from 1 species
UACGGAGGAUCCGAGCGUUAUCCGGAUUUAUUGGGUUUAAAGGGAGCGUAGGCGGAUGUUUAAGUCAGUUGUGAAAGUUUAAGGCUCAACCUUGAAAUUGCAGUUGAUACUGUUAUUCUUGAGUGCAUUAAACGUGGGCGGAAUUCGUGGUGUAGCGGUGAAAUGCUUAGAUAUCACGAAGAACUCCAAUUGCGAAGGCAGCUCACAGGACUGUAACUGACGCUGAUGCUCGAAAGCGUGGGGAGCAAAC